rnacentral:rRNA from 1 species
AUACGUAGGUGACAAGCGUUAUCCGGAUUUACUGGGCGUAAAGGGCGUGUAGGCGGUCUUGCAAGUCAGAAGUGAAAUUCCUGAGCUCAACUCGGGCGCUGCUUCUGAAACUGCAGGACUUGAGUGCUGGAGGGGAUAGCGGAAUUCCUAGUGGAGCGGUAAAAUGCGCAGAUAUUAGGAAGAACACCGGUGGCGAAGGCGGCUAUCUGGACAGUAACGGACGCUGAGGGGCGAAAGCGUGGGGAGCAAACAGGAUUAGAUACCCUGGUAGCCCACGCCGUAAACGAUGAAUACUAGGUGUAGGGGGUAUCGACUCCCUCUGUGCCGCAGUUAACACAAUAAGUGCUCCGCCUGGGGAGUACGUACGCAAGUAUGAAACUCAAAGGAAUUGACGGGG